GACGAACGCUGGCGGCGUGCUUAACACAUGCCAGUCGAACGGAAAGGCCCUGCUUUUGUGGUGUGCUCGAGUGGCGAACGGGUGAGUAACACGUGAGUAACCUGCCCUUGACUUUGGGAUAACUUCAGGAAACUGGGGAUAAUACCGGAGAGGAGCUCCUGCUGCAUGGUGGGGGUGGGAAAGUUUCGGCGGUUGGGGAUGGACUCGCGGCUUAUCAGCUUGUUGGUGGGGUAGUGGCUUACCAAGGCUGUGACGGGUAGCCGGCCUGAGAGGGUGACCGGCCACAUUGGGACUGAGAUACGGCCCAGACUCCUACGGGAGGCAGCAGUGGGGAAUAUUGCACAAUGGGCGGAAGCCUGAUGCAGCAACGCCGCGUGAGGGAUGACGGCCUUCGGGUUGUAAACCGCUUUCGCCUGUGACGAAGCGUAAGUGACGGUAAUGGGUAAAGAAGCACCGGCUAACUACGUG
rnacentral:rRNA from 1 species